ACAUGUCAAGAUCAUCGUGUGUGGAAUUAUAUUUGAAAGAUUACUUUAAAAGAUUAUAAAAUCGCGUGACUGUAAAAUAUACAAAGCAUCAACAUGAAGUGCUGGGUGUGAGCAAAGAAGUAAAAAGAUACCAUUCAUAUCUAUAUAGAUUUCUAUCUAUCGAUACAUCGAUCGCAGCCCGUGCAUGAACGCUUCUGAUUCGCUCAAACAUCAUCCUAACUAAAAUGGCGGCUGAUCAAUUAUGGUCACAAAUUUUUCUCGAUGCUCAUUCUAGUGUAUACAUAAAUAGUCUUGCCAUCGAUGAAAUAUUAAAGACCGUCAAUUCUGGACAAAUUUUCGGCGAUAUAAAAAGGACCUCAAG